ensembl:lncRNA
UACACCACAGCUCACGGCAACGCCAGAUCGUUAACCCACUGAGCAAGGGCAGGGACCGAACCCGAAACCUCAUGGUUCCUAGUCGGAUUCGUUAACCACUGUGCCACGACGGGAACUCCUGUAAAGUUUUUAAGGACUAUCCACAGCCUUCUGGGUAGCCCCGAUCCACUUCCCCCACAUGCCAAGCAGGCUUUUGUAAAUACUGUUUCUUCUGCCUAGAACUUUUUCUCCUUCUCACUGUAAGUGCUCAGGCCAUUCUAUCCUCCCUGCAGUUUACUGAUUUUGACCUAAGUUCACAGAUACUUAACCUCUCAGUUUCCUUGUGUGUAAAACAGGAGUAACAGUAAUACCUAUGUCAUAGCACUUUUAAGAAGAUAAGUUAAUACACAAAGUAUGACUCAUGAACCAUCACCUGGAAGCUUGUCAGAAAUGCAGAAUCUCAGGCCCCACCCCAGAUAGAAUGAAUCAGAAUAACAAGAUCCCAGACUUCCUGUGUGGUUCACAACAGAAUAACAAGAUCCCCGUAUGCACAUUUAAGCUGAAGGAUCACUGCACUAAAGCACUUAUAACAAUGCCUGUCACAUAAUAAACACUCAAUAAACAACAGCUGUUUUAUUAUCAUCAUAAUUAUUAAAGGUCAAACUUUUAUAGCUGUCUCCAGUUUCCCCUCUGGACUUACUUUUAAAUUCCAAAUUCUAGUUCAGUGGUUCUGAAACGGAGUUCUUAGGGAACACUGGCAUCCUGGGAGCUGGACCUGGGCUCCAGCUAGAGACUGAGGCUACAGUCAAGGCUAUUUCCUGCACUCAGGUAGCUUCUCUCCAUCUGCAAAGGGAGACAGGGAAGGAAAGAGGCAACUACAAUAGGUGGGGUGACAAGGGCUCCCAAGACAGGGAUGAAGAGAGCUGCUGGGAGGCCGCUGACACCGACUUGUGGGGUCAAGGGAAGUGCUAUUUAAUCUAAGAGCUGAAAGAUGAGCUGGUAACACAGCCCCCCACCCGCAAGGUGGUCGCUAGUGGACUGACUGCUCCCACGGUAUGACAGGGCCUGGAAAGGCCUUCAACUUCGCUCUAGGGAGUGAGUAAAGAUCUACUAAGGAGAUCUUGUUUCUUGCUGGCCAGGCAAACAAGGAAGCCGUGGCGAUUGGAGUCUGGUCCCUACUUGGCGUCCUGGUAUGAAGCCUGGUCACUUACAAAAAACUUUGGCUUCCUUUUAAACCAGAACCUCAGCAGUUGUAAAACUGCUACUGUGGACACCUGGGUUUUCUCAUUUGCAGGAGGAGAACAAUAAUACAUCCCUACAGGGUUCUUGUGAAGAUUUACAUGAGAGGCAGGUCAAAUCCCAGGCACACAGCAGGGUAGAAUCAAGAGUUUCAGAGUUCUGAGCUGUGCGGCAGCGUCUGAGCCCAUGGGCUGGACCUUUGAAACUGCAAGCAUUUCUUCCCAUAUGAGACACGUUCCAACAGCUGGUCGGCUGUGAGCUGCAAGGGCAGUCUCCUAGGGGUCCGCGGGGUUGCGGGUGGCUAGUUCUGUAACAAAGAGAAGGCGCGCUCUUCCCGGCCCUGGGCAGCCCCUGAUGGACGCUCUGCAGGCUUCAGAAUAUACCUGGCCCAGUGGAAACAAAGUCGUUUUUUGCACGCUCAACGAGUCUUUUUCCAGGGGUCUUCGGAAGCCGGGCUUUCCCUCCUCACGCGCGAGAGGCCGGCGGGCGGAGAACCAGAUUGGCUAGGAAGGCCGGGCCGCCAUUGAUUGGCUGCGAGGGCAGGGACGCCACUGAUUGGCUGCGGGGGGCAGGGACGCCGCCGAUUGGCUGCGAGGAGGACUGCAGGACCCUUUCGGCGUCCGCGACUGCGAAAGCGAGGUCAGGUGACUCCCCGGAGCCGGCGGAGAGGAAGCCGCGGUCGAGCGCUGGGCGGGCGCUACGUUUGGCCUUGAACUUUUGUUACGUGGCUUCAUUGUUUCCUUCCUCCGCUGAAGGUCGGGGCCAGUCCUCGCCCUUUUCUGAAGCGUGACACCCCCUCCCCACCAGGCGGCUCCGGCCCGAGGGCAGUGGGGCCUCUUCCCGCCUCGCGGAGCGGAUGCUCUCACUGUGGGCGGAGCCGCCCGGGCUAUUUCGGUUCCUUCUCCGCCCCGAGUCUUCGGCUUCCUGCUAGUUUCCGUAGCCUUCCCUUAGGUAAUUAGUGACCACAGAUAGCAUUUUCCGAGCAGUUCAUAUCAGGCAGAGCCUUUGCAUAUUUUUUCCUCUGAUUUGUCAAGGCAACGGUCUGGGUAGCAUUAACUUCCACUUAUAGAUCUUAAUUUGGCCACAGCCAGAAAGUGGUUCAGCUGGGGUUCCUUUCCUCGGCUGUUUGACUCCAGCGCUAUGCACUCUUGCCCCGCAGUGUCCUCGGGUGAGCCUAUGCCAGGACCAUGCUGCAGGAUGGUUGUGGUCAGCCACAUUCUACCCUGGAGCCACGUUGUCGUCAAAGACAUUUGGGGGCCAGGCUAGGAAAUAACCCAGCUCUAGGGCAUUAUUAGAAAAGAUUUCCCCUAGAGCCUGUUUCUUUAGCACAGGGAUCUAGUUAAAGCUAGUGAUCUUUCCUGGCUUGGGUGCAUUCCUCCCUCGCCCCCCGCCCGCCCCAUCGUGUGGAGAAAGAACAAGGCAUUGCACUGGUCCAAAGCUUCUCCACCUGGGACCCGGCUGCAAAUCUGGCAUUAACGUCACGAAUCUAGAGCAGGGGGAAGUGAGGCAGGGGAACUUGGGUGCAAUCACCCCCCAUGCUCAGAGUGCUUGAGGACAGCAGUCUCCCAGGUCCUAUCCUACAUCUCCCCGCAGAAGAGACAUGACUCACAUCCCCAGAAAAACCUUCUCAGUGAGGGUAGGGCUGUUUUGAGAAAAUGUAAAUGGCAGCUUUGAAAAUAGAGACAUUGUGGAAACAGCGCUUUUGUUUUGAUGAGACAUCAGUAAGGCCAGGGCUGGUUUUUAUUUAAAGAUAGUGCAGGAAUUCCCUGGUGGCGCAGCAGGUUAAAGGUCUGGCGGUUGUCACCGCUGUGCCGUAGGUUCAAUUCCUGGUCCAGGAACUUCUGCAUGCUGUGGGCGCAGGCCAAAAGAAAAAAUAGUACAAGCAAACUGCCAAGUAAUUCCAUCUUGUAAACAUAAGAGAAAAAUCUGAAAGCCACGCGGAGGACCCACACCUUAAGAUCCCUAAACAAAGGGAAUGCAGACAACUUGGGAAGUCCCCUUCCUACCCCGUCUCCAGCCUAGAGCCCUCCAUUCAGCUGGUACUGAAUGGAGGGUGAGAGAUGUCUGCAGCAUGGGAGCCACAGAGGCGAGAGGGGUAAGAAUGACUCUCCUUCUACAUAUGAGUAAACACAAUAUGAACACGAUAUUUAAAAAUAAAAAAUAUGGUUAAAAGGGGAAGAGAAAUUGAAGUUACCAGGCACCUGGGAUGAAUUACUGACAGUAGUUGAAGGCCCUGGAGCGAGGGAGGGGGAGGUCUGAGCAGCCGGCAGAGCUGUUCCUCCAGGUGUAUUAAAAAAAAAAAAAAACAACUACACUUUCACUUUUCUCAGGCCCAAAGCCCUGAUAGCUACUCUUGUUUAAAGCUUGUUUUCACAUUUGUGCAAUAAGGACUUCGGGUAAGAUGGUCCUAAUCAGUGCCCAGAUAUUUUCAUCGAAUGAUGCUCAACUCCUCCAUCUCAACAACAUGCUAAUCAUCUGACUAACUGCUCAGCUUUCCUGCUUUAUGAGAUCAUCACUGCCAGUUCCAAGUGCAUUUGGCUGCCAGAGAGCAAACAUUCCAUGUGUGAGCUGGGGAUACAUGUUGUUGUGAUGAUAGGUCUGGCAAAUCUGAGGCAUGCUGGUUUAACUUGAAAGGGCACUAAACUCGGUGCAGUCCCCAGCUCGCUACUGGGGGCGGGGGCCUGGGGCAAGGCCUCCUGAUUCACUUUUAGGUAGCACUAGUCCUCAUGCCUUGGGGCUUGGAGGAGUCAGGAAUCACAGUCCUAGAAGCUUUCUGCCUACCUACAAUCCUCAGAAGGUUACCAGAUCCUCAUCCACCUUCCAUCAGGUAGGGGUCAUUGUCUGCUGCACUGAGGUCCUAUUUGCCAGGACUCACAGGUGGGGCUAAAACUGUCCUCAGGAGGCACUCACUGGGGAAAUCUAUGUAUAUCACAUGAUGAAACAGUUGUGGCAAAUGGUCAUGAUCUCUCAAUAACAACCCAGACGUAGUUUCCAGAAGGCGUCAGUAGCUCCUUAUAGGUCCCUCAAACCUUCAAAACCAGUUGAAGCCAUGGAUUAGGGUGGGAAACAGGAUUCUUUUUUCUUUUCAGUUAACUGUCACACAAUGUUCUGAGUGGCAUCAUUGAGGCAUUUGAAUGAGAAGGAAGGAAAGGGUGGGGAAGGGCCACAAUUUUUAACACCUUUAGCAUACCAGUUAAGAAUACAUACAGGCUCUGGCAACAUGGAUGGACCUAGAGAUAUUACCAUACUAAGUGAAGUAAGUCAGAGAAAGACAAAGGUCAUAUGAUAUCACUUAUAUAUGGAAUCUAAAAAAUUAUACAGGGAGUUCCCGUCUUAUAACCGUGUCUGUGACCUUCUCCUAGGAGAAAGGAAAUAAACAGAUACUUGGACCAAGCCGUUGUUCCUUCUAUUUGUCUUUUCUCCAUAAAGUGUUUCAUACUAUGCCUGCUUGCUUUUCUGUGACACAGUAAUAUGAAUUGGAAAUCUCUCCAUAUCAGAAUAUGAGGAUCUACUCCAUUCUUUUUAACUGCUGCACAGUAUUACAUAAUAUGGACAACGAGAAAAAAAAGAAAUAUAGUAUGGACAUACACGAGAUUAUUUACACGUUCCCAUGUAUUUAUUGUGUGCCUCAUGUUACUGUGUCCAUACAGGAUGUGGGAGGAAACACAGGGGGCAAAGCAGCAUAGAGCACAUGCCCUAUGAAGCUUGUCAUUUUGUGGGGAAUCUGGGAUUUGGAUGAAACAACCAUAGACCGACACAAGAAGGUAUGUAAUAAAAUAUUAAGUUGAUUUUAAAAUUAAGUGUCAUUGC